AUUGAACGCUGGCGGCAGGCCUAACACAUGCAAGUCGAGCGAGCGCCGGGCGGGUGAGGAAUGUAUGUGGACUGUCCGAGAGAGGGGGAUAACUACUGGAAACGGUGGCUAAUACCGCAUACAGUAUCAUAACCCAUAUGGGAUGAGCUAGUAGGUAAGGUAAUGGCUCAACUAGGCGACGAUCCCUAGCUGGUCUGAGAGGAUGAUCAGCCACACUGGGACUGAGACACGGCCCAGACUCCUACGGAGGCAGCAGUGGGGAAUAUUGCACAAUGGGCGCAAGACUGAUGCAGCCAUGCCGCGUGUAUGAAGAAGGCCCUAGGGUUGUAAAGUACUUUCAGUCGGGAGGCGUUACCGACAGAAGAAGCACCGGCUAACUCCGUGCCAGCAGCCGCGGUAAUUC
rnacentral:rRNA from 1 species